GUGCCCGUAACUCAGUGGUAGAGUGUGAGAUUGCAAC
rnacentral:tRNA from 1 species